GGUUAAAGCGCCCAACCUAUACCAACCGGGGCGAAAAUUCGUAGGUUCGAUUCCUGCUGGAUGCACUUGGAACGUUCAGUUCAAUCGCGGCUCACGG
rnacentral:sRNA from 1 species